UGGUGGUGGCUGACGCCACCUAUCGGGUGUGGCAGGGCAGGCAACUCCUCGGGAGGGGCCCCAGCCAGGGUGGGCAGGUUGGGAAGGGCAAGUCCACGGGGGAGCACCAGGGCAGGGCAGCAGAGGGUCAGAAAUGGCUCCCACAAGCACCUGGCCAGCCAUACAGAACGGGAGUGGGGGAAAAAAAAAUGGCACCUGCCAUCCCUGGAGACAGUUCCGAAGAUUCCUGCCCCUCCUGCACAUGCCCUAAAACUAGUCAUUGAAUCCCCUUCACGCGUAACCCAGGCAACUUUCAAAAUGCCACCUCUGUGCUGGGUCUUAGAGUGAGGGCGCCUGUACGUGCUGCCUUUAGGAAUGAAGCCUCAGUUUCCUGUAAGUCUCUGUCUCUCCCAGAGUUAAGCCCCGCUGGCUUUCAAAGCCAGAUGUUGUCUGGGCUUGUCUUCCUGGCUGUGUGGGUAGGCCCCCCAGGAAGCCCGAUGUGGGGCCUGGACCCCUUGUUCCUCGGGGAGGGCCUCUGCAGUCGUGACAUCCCUCCUGUUGUGGGUCACUGGGCUCAAGGUGUGGGUCUCGACUAAGCCGUGUCUGCACCCUUCCUGUCUCGAUGCGGCUUUUUCUUUAUAUCCUUAGUUCUGUAAAAUCAGCUCUGCCAAUCUUCAGGUCAUUCCCAGCAACAGUUGGUCCAUAUGUAGUUAUUCUGUUUUUAGAUGUAGUUAUUUUGAUGUGUCUGUGGCAGGUGGAGAGCUGAGAUCUUCCUGCUCUGCCAUCUUCAUUCUGACCCGCUUUAGAUUUUUAAAUAUCGCUGAAGAACACUCGGUAAUAUUUGAAACAACCACCUUUAUAGAUGUCGUACUUAUACUUCCUGAUUUCAAAUUAAAUGGUCGAAAAACUGCAACCUAGAACAACGGUUGCAAACCUUUUCAGGUUUAAGAGUGGUUGCGCUGUUCCUGAGAAAAUAGCAUGGCAACAAAAAUCUACUAUGAAUUCAGUGGCACUUUUUAAAUGACUCUGAAUUGUAUUUCCCACAACAUUUACACACACUGCAAGCAGAAUAUUGCCUGUAUCUGCAAUACAAAAUAUUUAUUUAUCACACAGGACACAAAGCUGAAUGUGCUUCUGAUUGCAAGGGCCUCUCGUUAUAAAUGUCCUCAAGCCCCAAGUUGGAAAUAUUCUGCUUCUAAAAGGUUCAGCAACAGUCAAACCUCAGAAUGCUUGAAAGCUGAUCAUAUCCGUUGGAAAUGUGAUUGUUUCCAGAAAAUAUUUUAGAAAUGGGGAUUUAUCGCUUUCAAUGGCAAGCUGUUGAAAACUUCUGAGCGAGUGACUUACGAAUAAAGGAGUGUCAUAAAUGGCCACCAGCUAACAAGACGGGGAGAUGGACUGUGUGCUUCCCAGGAAGGCCGGUGGUGCAGUCAGCGGGGAUGGCAGGAGACGGCCCCUAAGCACAUCCAAGAGUCCGGAAGCAGAGGAAGAAGCUGCAGGGAGUGGGGGGACAGGGGACCGGUCGGCAUGCGGGGCAGUCCGCGUAUGCUCACUUCCCUUAGUGCUGCUUCCUGAGAUCUCACCAUCGCGAGACUUCUGUUUGAACGUGCCUCUCCUAAGUGAGCGGAAUGUUGUAUUUGGGAGCUUUGAGGAGACUGACAUUCAAAAGGGAAUGGGAGUUUGUUUUCACAUGCUUGUCUUCUCCCUCAUCCUUCUCUCGGAUUAAUGGCUGUACAGAAGGGGGAGCCAGGGGCGGAAAGAAGGAUGACUGAAGAAGGGAAGAGAGGGACGGGGGGGAGGCAGCCGCCCUGGGGACCUUAGUAGGGACUUCUGGCCGCGAAGGCACUACUGCCUCGCAGGAAGAGGAACUGGAGAGUGAAAGAGACAAGCAGGAAUUGUCAGGGAUGCACUACUCCUGAUUCCAAAUGUGCUCGGAGAUCUUACCUUCUGCCUUCCUGUUUUCUCCUGGCUCUUCAACUACAUCAUGGGCAAUGGAGACUCUUGGAAGAUCAGCUUAGAAACUCGAGCACCAUUCAGGAAGUAUCCCUGAGGAACGGCUUUCCCGGAGACGAAUGCCUUCCGACCGACAUCCUACGGUGCUCCCUCCCGUCUCGCGUCCCUACGUGGUGACUCUGCUUGCCCUGUGCUCAGAGGCCUGCACCCAGCACACCUCUGCCCUCUGGCAAACGCGAGAAGUUUUAGGCUCUCUCCUCUGGGCUCCCGGAGGUAACGGACACGUCUUGUGCCAUUUGCGUGCCCUCUGUCACUCGGCCAGAUACUAAAUUCCUGGAGGGCAGACACUGUGCCUUUUAAAGGCGAUCAGCAUAUACCACCCUGCAAGAUGCCACUUUGGCAUCAAGAUGAGCUGAAGGCAACGGAGAAGCAGCAGGUGUAGGGCAAGCUCUUUGGCCCACCCCUUUCUGUCUAAAAGCAGGCUGCAGAUUUCCCUUUGUAAAGCGCUCCCCUCUCCCACACCAGGAAGAGGAAGACGAGUCUUAAACCCCAGGAUGACUCAUCAUCAGAGAAGGCUCCGAUGUCGUCUGCACGUAGCAAACCUUGCUAAGUCACCUUCAUCUCCCAUCGGGUUCCCCCACCUACGGACCGUCCUGUAGUUUACCACCCCCAGACGCCCCAACUCACCCUCUUCGUCUCGUUCUUGACAAUUUAUUGCUCUCUUAAAAUGGUGUGUAAGCCCGCAGGCCUAGCUGCUGCUGUGGGCCUUCACUUCUUUCCUAUAACGACCGCUGGGCGCAUGUAAAAAUUAAAAUAUUAACAUCAAAUAAAAUCGGUAUGCCUUUUCUCCUGUUGAGCUGUUGUUUGUCAACUUAUUUUCCAGGGCCCUAAGCACUAGACCGAAGACGUAGAGGAAAAAGGUUUUCCUCCAUUACACAUUCAACUCAGCAGCUGUAGUGCCUGCAAGGUAUCGAGCAAAAGUCUGAUGAAUGAACUGGUGACAGUCACAAAUGCCGAGUGUCUGGGAGCAGGGGGGCGCUGGGCGCACAAUGGGGUCUAGGUAGUGGGCUUGCACCUGGUGGCCUGACUUGCACCUGGUGACCAAGCUGCCCGAGGCAGUCCCCGCAGGCCAGAUGUUCAAGAUGCAGAAGAUAAACAGCACACAGCAGCUCAGGAAACACUCGCGUGCUGUUAUACGGGCUGAGAACAAACAUGCAGAACCUUCGAGGCUAAAUGUGGGAGUAGGAAGUGGCUACGGUGAGCCUUGGGGGGCUGGCAACGGACAGUGUCAUCAAAUUGGCCCAUAUAAUCGGUGCGGUAACCUACUGAGAAACACCUGAGCUUAACAAGAUUCAUUUUAGUCCAGAAAUGCCAUUUGCUCAGGGACUAUGGAAGGGUUGGCAGAGAAACCCAUACAGCAUGAAAAAGAGCAUUCCGGAAAGUAAUAAAUCGCCUCCAAAUGAUCAACUAAAGAUAGCCUCUGAAUCACUCCCUAAAAUUCCUAUUUACAAACUGAAGCAUUAAAGCCUUUCCUUUGGUUUGACAACAACGUUAAGUACUCAGAAAGACAGAAGGCGUGUUGAGAGUUUAUUCAGAAGAGCAUUUGACCCGGAGGAAAUGUAUCCAUUCCCAUACAGGAAACUCCCUCACGUGUACUCAACUAAAACGACAACAGUUCACACACAAGGAGAUCAUUUUGUUGUAAGGAAAGUACCACAUAAACUGAGCUGAUAAUCCUAAAAUCCAUGGUGUUUUGCAAACUGCGAUGUGACAACGUCUUUUUCACAAAUUCUCCAGAAAAUGUCAAUAUUCCUUAGAACGAAGGCCUGCCCACUGAUCCAGUACACAGAAUCAGUGCGUUUGCGGGCUAUCGCAUGGCCUCCCGAGGGACUCACGAGGCACUCAUGAGGGACUGGGCCAGGAGUGGGCUGGAGACUUGUCACGAGACAGGAGAAAGGAGGCGCAGCCCUCAGGAAACACCCACUUGAGACAAAGGUUUGGUCUAAGCCAAAACAAAGUUAUUUCCAUUUCAUCACUUUUUGUAUAUAAUCAUAAGCAGGAGAGGAAAACAAGACACACAGACAAAAAAAGCCCCCAAACUCUUGCCAUUUUAUGAAACAGUCUGUCUAAAAAUCUAGUAAAACAAGCUGAGUUUACUCUAAGGAGAUCAUGACACAACGGGAACACCACCCUUCUCUGUCUGCUGCUUCUUCAAAUAUGUUCAUAUAUAAAUCGAGGCCCUGGGUCGAGAGACAAGAUUAGAGUCUAAAGUAUGUAAAAACACACACUUCAUACCGUGUGAGGACGACACAACACACGCAUCACUGUAGCCUCAGGGGAGCUGAGAGCGCACAGUACUGCACACGAGUGAUCUGAUCAGCAUCUGGGGUGACCGGUUUCAGGACUUCAGUGUCCUUUAGCCACCUUCCCCUGUCUGCACACAGGCGACUCUGUCUGUUCCUCACGCACGAGGCACUGAAGGACAAUGCUCCUGACGACAGGUGAACUUUCUUUCUCUUUCUCUUUUUUUUUUUGCUCAGACAGCCUUACUGUUUCUUAAAUUGACUUAUAAAAACCCACGUGGGAAAAAAAUGAAAAUAAAAAAAUAAAAAUAAAAACCCAUGUGGGGUCCUCAGAAAAAGGCCCACAGGCCUGAGAGUUAAUUUCUUAUGUCUUUUUCAUUCCCCUCCCCCUUCCUUUCCUAAACCUAAUUUUUCUUCCCAUACAUGAUCACGGUUAUGCCGCAAGAGAGGAAAUACUUUCUAAUUUACUAGAAUCUCCUGACACUCAAAAUUUACCUACAUUUACCAUUUUAGACAUUAUGAAGUAAAAGGAUCUGGCAAAGGGAUUUCAACAUCAGGUCUAUUUUCCUUUCCUCACAGCAACAAUUCAUUACCUAUUUUUCUCUAGAACUUCAAUCAAGAGAAACCUUUCUUUCUGUAUAUUUAGAAACUUGCAAAAAGGGAAAUCUGUUCCCUAGUACUUGUUUCAUGGAAAGCACUUAGUAAAAAUAAUACAUUUUCAUUUUCUGAGCAAGACACUUCUCACCCUUGGCCUAGAAGUCCCAAUGCUCUCUGUUGUAUUUUGAAAGAGGGAAUGAAUUAGAUUUACUGCAACCCCUUUGAGAAAUAGUAAUUUGCUUUCUUAAUUCACUGAGUCAAUCAGAGGACAUUCAGGGAAAACCACAGGAAAGAUUCUUCCACAUUUUGUGUUUCAAAACUAAAAUAAAAGCUUGGCAUUUAAACUUGCUACUGUAGUCCUUGAAAAUGCCUCAAAUCAUCUUUUGUUGAAUUAGUGGAUUACAAGCUCAGAGUUUCUGUUGCUUUCAUUGUUCUCUUCUAUUUACCAGACUCAGAUACAUUUUCCCCGAUAACUUCCUGAAUUAACCAACAGGUGAGUUAAUCCAAUGCUACUAGGUCCCCAGAUCACAAGCCAUGUUUACCCAAAAAUGUUCCUUCCCACAACAAAGGGACUUGCUGUCCUGUGUGUAGCAGAGUGUUUAGCAUAUAGUGAGUACUUUUUUUUUUUUUUUUAAAUGAAACAGAUGCAUGAAUGAAUAAGUAACUUGUCCUCAAUCUUUCCCAAAGUCUCAGGAAGACGGAAAGCAGUGAAGGUGUUUAAAUGAAACUAUUGGGAGCAGACUACCAGGACUAUCUCCUCCUGGAAAAAGAAAACCCAACGGGCACAACCCAAAAGAGCGGUGUGCUAGGGAGGGAGGGGACUCACAGGUGCUGGCUUCCUCCCUCUUAUUAUAACUUCCUGUUGGGAAGCAUGACAGAUCGUGCAGAACUCAAGGCAGGCAGGCUCUCGAAUGCCCGGGUAUUCUCUAGGUUCCCAUUUCCCCUGGGCCCAAGCUGCCAUUAUUUCGCACUAACCUGUCAACAGCCCCCUACCUGGUCUAUCCAAAUAAACACUGGCCUCCCUCCAAUACAUUUCUGCGCGGCAGCCAGACUGACUGUCCUACAAAGCAAAUCUGAUCAUGUCUCCCCCUCUCUGACCCAAUGGCUCCUGGGAGAGAAACAGCUUAAAGCCUAAAGUUGAACACAAAUCAAAAUGGCUACAGUAAUGCUUUGGCAAAGCUCCAUUUUAAAGUGACUUUUUUCCUCUCUUCCACAAACCUCCCUCCUCUCUUCUUAGUCUUUUGUUCCAGGAACCUGGUACCACCCUAGAGAAGUGACGAAGGAGGCUGGUAGCAGGAACACGAUUCCUGGCCAAACGGGCUAGAUCUCUCCCUAGAAACUGACCCCCCCCCCAGCCCCUUCCUCGGGGAGGGCUUGCAGGUUUUGAAGGCCAUAGCCUGCUGCAGCCUCCCUUGCCUGGCAAAGCAAUAUAGCUAUUGUUCCUCUUUAUCCCCAACUCUGUCUUCAAGUUCUAUUUUGGCUCUGAAGAAGGGAAGUCAGUCUUCCAUAAGAGGAGGACUGCCUCAUGUGGCCUACAUAAUCCUAUCGGCUCUCCAGUCUCAUCAGGUACAGCCCCGGCACUCACUCCACCCAGCUCUAAGGGCCUUCCUCUACCUCAUCAAACUCGACACAAUCCCACCAGCCUUGAGCUGAGCACAUGGUGUUCCCUCUAGUUGGAAUCUCUUCCUUACCCUUUCAGAUCUCAGUUUAAAUACAAUUUCCUCACAGAAGAAUUCUCUGACCUCCAUAAUUAAGCAACACCAAACUUAUUACAAAACCUCAUAGGAAACUUCUAGGAGAAAAGCCUCAUGGCCUUGGGUGAGGCAAAAAGUGCUUGCAUACGGUAGCAAAAGCAGAUUUCAUUAAAAAUUUUUUUGUUCAAAAGGACUUCCUCAAAGUUAAAAAUUUUGUGUUUCAAAAUGUACAAGAAAAUGAAAAACUAAAAAAUGUAAGAAAGUAUUAGCAAACCAUAUAUACGAUAAAUAACAUGUAUCCAAAAUAUAUAAAGAACAUUCCAACUCAAUAAAACAAUCCAAUUAAGAAAUGGGCCAAAUGCCUCAAAGGUCAUUUAACCAAAGAAGAUACACAAAUGGCUAAUCAAUAUAGGAAAAGAUGCUGAACAUCAUUAGUCAGUGGAGAAGUCCCAAUCGAAAUCACACGAGAUUCCACUUCACUUCCACUCCAGUGGCUGUAUUAAAAAAGACUGACAGUAGAAAGCGUCGACAAGAAUGAGGAAAAACUGGAAUCCUUCUACAUGGCUGGUGGGAAUGUCAAAUGGCAAAGCCACUAUAGAAAACAACUCGACGGUUUCUUUAAAAAGUGAAAUGGAAACUUAUCACAUCAUUCAGCAAUUCCGCUCCUAGGACGCAUCCCUCCAGAGAGAAAUGAAAACACGUAUCCACACAAACACUUGCGCGUGAAUGUCUACAGCGCGAUUAUUAGUAAUAGGCCCAAACUGAAAACGAUCCAACUGUCCUUCAACUGGAAAACGGAUGAGCAAAAUGUGCUCUAUUCACAUAUUGGAAUACCAUUUGGCAACAAAAGGAACCAAGUACUGAUACGUGCUACCACAAGGAUGAAACUCAAAAACACUGUGCUAAGUCAAAGAAGGGAAAUAACAAACGGCUACACUUGUUAUCAUUCCGUUUUAUGAAAUGUCCAUAAGGAGACAGAUUACUAAAUUGACUAAAAACCACUGAAUUAUACACUUAAAAUGGCAAAUUUUAUGGUAUACAAACUGCACCCCAACACAGCUGUUAAGAAUACAAAAACACAACCUCAUGUGAACGUGUGGCUCUUCUACAGCACUUACCCUCAAGUGGCCAGCACACCAGGCACUCAGAAGGGGGGUACAGAGUCCUCUGAAAGCACUCUGCUUCUUGUGUAAGAGGCGGCCUUACACGGUAGAGAGACCACAGGCCCCCAAGUCAAGAAGGCAAUGUUCAAACACUGCCUCACCACCUCCUUGCCGGGUAAUUCUGGAAAGUUACUUAAAAUCUCUCAAAUUCAGUAAAAUAGGGACAAGAAUACUACAAGUGCUGUGAGAACUGACAACAAUACAGAUACAAUAUGGCUUCCGUCCCCUUCAUUCCAUGAAGACGCGCUUCUCACGGCCACCAACAGCCUACGUGUUGCCGGUUCUGACGGACACAGGUUUCUGACUCUCCGCUUGUGCCUAUGACGCUUUCACGGCGAUUUCCUGCUCCAUAAGGAAAGCAGGCUGGAUAUCCUGCCGCUUAGCACACUCGGAACCAUCACAGGCCUUGCUGAUGUGUCUUCUUCGUCUCGGGCCCCCUCGUAAGCGCUUCGGGCUCACAGCACGAGCUCCUUGAAGAUGACACAGGCACACACGCCCCAUGCCGAUUUGGGGGCCUUCCCGACCUUCUUGGUAUAAAGCCACUCUUCCCGGGGCUUCAAUAGCCACAUGGGAUCUUUUUCAAGAUACUCCUAUACUCACCCAAGACAGGUGCACGGAUUCCCCAGGCUUAGUGACACUGACUGCAAGGAUGCCUGACACCAUCUGGGUGUCCUUCCACAUCUGGAAGGUCCCCCCACUUGUGAACCUGAACCGGUCCCUGCUAACCCUGUGGUCUACUGCUCCUAUAACCGUUGACUGUCUCCCAACUGCACUGUGAACUUCGAGAUGGUAAAUACUUACUCUUACUCAUCUUUACAUUCUCUACUUCAGCUAAACUAGUGCAAAAUAAAUGUAUGAGAAAAGAGAGAAUAAAUCUGUAAAUCUCAGUAUUUGUAGCUCAUUCUUAAACUCUAAAUAUGUGAGAUUUUUCGUACUGUAACUUUAAGGCAUUUUCCCAAAACUUACUCUGAUGUCCUAAUCCUACUAUUGCACAUUUGUUAAUAAACUGUUUCUGAA